UACGUAGGAUGCAAGCGUUGUCCGGAAUUAUUGGGCGUAAAGAGUUCGUAGGCGGUUUAUUAAGUCAGAGGUUAAAGACCGAGGCUCAACCUCGGGAGUGCCUUUGAUACUGGUAGGCUGGAGUACGGCAGAGGAAAGUGGAAUUCCAAGUGUAGCGGUGAAAUGCGUAGAUAUUUGGAGGAACACCAGUGGCGAAAGCGACUUUCUGGGCCGUUACUGACGCUGAGGAACGAAAGCGUGGGGAGCAAACAGG
rnacentral:rRNA from 1 species